rnacentral:rRNA from 1 species
GCGUAAUGGCUGUAAGCGGCCCGUCUUGUAACACGGACCAAGGAGUCUAACAUGUAUGCGAGUUGGUGGGUGGAAAACCCAUGAAGCGUAAGGAAACUAACUGGUGGGAUGGCCUGUGCCUGCACCAUCGACCGACCAUGAUCUUUUGUGAAAGGUUUGAGUACGAGCAUACCUGUUGGGACCCGAAAGAUGGUGAACUAUGCCUGAGCAGGGCGAAGCCA